rnacentral:lncRNA from 1 species
GUUUUGGGAAAGUCAAAAGUUUGACUGCACUGGGGUUUGUUUGUUCCGCUAAGCCCUGCAUUAUUCAAGGGUCAACUGUAGCAGGAACUGCUGUUCCCAUUGCAUAAUAGGAAUUAUUAAUGUCCCAUAUUACAGAGGAGGGAAGGAGGGUGAGAGUGGCUAAAUCACUUGCCCAGGUUCUCGCCUAUUCAGAAGUAGAACCAGGAUCUCCCAAGUUCCAGUGGGAGAUCUCGUCACCGAUGAAGCCCCUUUUGCACCGUGCAGGAAUAUACCUAGGCAGAGUGAAAAGCUCAAGAGUUUUGCUGUUAGACCUGGAUCAAAUUCCAGCUUUGCCAUAUCCCAAGGAGUCCUAGUUUUCCUGUCUUUAAAAUGGCAACAACAACAAAAUCUGUCUCACAAGUUUCUGGGAGGGGUGAAAUGAAAUGAACUAGGAUAGAAAGCCCUGGCAGGCAUGCAACAGAGACUUGGUCAGGUAACCUUGGUUCUUUCCCACAGUCUGGCUCUCCUUUUUGCCCCCUGGAUUGGCCACACCUGCUCUCACCUCUGAGCCCUUGCUCAUGCUGUUCUCUCUGGUUAUAAAUCCCUCCCUGUCUCCUCCUCUUAUCUCACUCAAAACCCAGCUGAGAUUUCAGCAUUUCCAUGCAGACUCCUCCCUUAUACCUGUUCUUCUUUCCGCACUUGGGACUCUGCCAGCACUUGGCAUUUAAUCAGCCACAGUGGAUUUAAGUGUUUCACUUGUGAGUGGCUUAUCUCCCACAUUACACUAGAUAUUCCUUGAGGGCACUGACCAGCCUCCUGCAUCCGUCCGUCAGCUUGGCCCAGCCACAGCUCUGUCUCUUCUUGGUGAGUGGCUCUGGGCACUUGCCCCUUCCCAUCACUGUGCCUAAUCCCUCUCCUGUACACGGUGGGGACCACUGGAGGAGCUCUGGAGACUCCCUCUUGUGAACAUUAGGUGAGUAAGUGAAACUGGGCUGAGUCUACAAUAGGAAGUGACCAGCAGGAACUGGUUGGGUUUUCCAGUAACCCCUAUGGACCAGACAUUGCACCCAGUACCUUGGAACUUCUCUAGUUGUCAGAAAGGCCCUAGGACAUUGUGUGUUUAUAGCUUAAGAAUGUGAACUUUAAAGGGAUACAUAACUUAAUUGGCAAUAAUUGGUUGAGAAUGAUUUCUUACUGAUGAUCACAUAUUUUUUACGCCAUGCACUGUGCCGGGAAUUCAGAGAGAUAUAUAAGGCAGACAUGGCUAUCAUAGGUACAAAUGGUUGGGGCCGACUUCGCAGGUGGUAAAAAAAUUUACCAAGACAGUUAUAGGUAAAGAAAGGCAGAUUUAUUAGACAAAGUAUGAAAAUAUGUUGCAAGGUUGCAACAGGCAGCAACAGCAGAGAAGGGGCUGUGUGUAAAGAGGCAGGGGCUGGAGGGAGCUAAUUUCGGUGGGUUGUUUGUGAUUAGCCAUCUCUCAAAUAACAAUUGUUCAUUUUUCUUCCCCACGUGGGGCCCUGCCCUACCUGGGGCCCCUUCCUAGUGACUGCUUACUUACCAGGACUCCAAAAUGGUCCCCAGCUUGCUUCAGAGAGCUCACAGCCAAGAUGACAAGUGAGACCAUCAACCAUCAGUCCACUACCACCCUCAUAUCAUUGUUUUAUAUGUAUGAGAACCACCAUCAUCAUGGCAGUUACCUCCAAUUCAGCACCUUUUACAGAUCAUCACCAGCUCCUUCUCAUCUCUCACCUGGCAGGACACAUAUUGUUGAAGGAGCCUAAGUGAAUUGUGAAUGUGCUACAACUUCACCGUAGUCCAGUUGUUCUCCACUGUGGGUAACUUCAUCUCCAGGAGGCAUUUAGCAACUUCUGGACAUAUUUUUGGUUGUCAUAACAGGGGGAAGGUUGCUACAGUCAUCUAGGUACUAGGGCCAGGGAUGCUACUCCACAGCCAAGUAUGCACAGGGCUGUUCCCUACUCCAGGGAAUUAUCAGCCCAAACUCUCAACUUUGUCGAGGUUGAGAAACGCUUCGGUAACCUCUGAGGUUUAUUGAGCAGCUGCCAUGCACUGCGUGGGUGCUAAGAAUAGAGUAGGAAGCGAAGCAGAUCCAUUCUCUGCUCACCCAGCGCCCACAGCAAGUGGCAUCCUGAUUCUUAUCAGUGGCUCCCCUGAGCACCAAGAUCUAAGAGCAGUGAAGGUAGGGGCUGCUGUACCCACAGGAGGGUCUCCAGGACAACCAGCCACCCAGGAGCCUGAGCAGGAGGAGCCUGUAGGAAGUGAGCUGGAAGUCAGGUUAAGAAAGUCGCAGAGGCUACUCAUAGGCGCCAGCUUUGUCUCCAUCUUCCUCCUUCGUCAUGCAAAGUGCUUCUGUGAACUUCAUGAGCAUGGGGUUCUUAAGGCCCAUUGGGUAGAGGCUUUAGGAACCCCAUGAUCAUGCUGCACACAGCCAGGCUCCAUCUCACAGGCAGGUCCUUGGCAUGGCCUAUCUUGAGUCUGGUGUAGCUUUUUUUCAAAAAUUGCCUUCUUAUCUCCUGUCUCAGCUAAUUGGUUCCUUCAUUCACUUACUUAUAACAAAAAUUUAAUGAGAAUACAUAUGUGUAAGGACCUAGAUUUAGGUUUUAAUUAUGAAUAGUUCUUAUUGGAUGCAUAUUCCAGACCCAUUUUAGAAAUGGAAAAUGUGAGAUGAAAUAACUUGUUACAGGUCACUUUUCUUUUACUCUGGAGCCCGUAAUCAUUGCCCCUGCAGUGAUUUCUCUCCUUCUCUUUCAUAUACUCAACCAAUAUUUAUGGAGGAUCCACUGUGUGCUGGGCAUGCACUGAGCACCAGGGCUAUGAUGGUGGACAAGACAGAUUUCAUUUCUGCUGUUAUUACCUACAUUGUAUUAGUCUGUUCUCUUGCUGCUAAUAAAGAUAUACCUGAGGCUGGGUAAUUUAUAAAGGAAAGAAAUCUAAUGGAAUCACAGUUCCACAUAGCUAGGGAGGGCUCCCAAUCAUGGCAGAAGGCAAAUGAGGAGCAAAGUUAUCUCUUAUUUGACUGCAGGCAAGAGAGAGCUUGCGGAGGGGAACUACCCUUUAUGAAAUCAUGAGAUGUCAUCAGACUUACUAUCAUGAGAACAGCAUGGGAAACACCUGCCCCUCAUGAUUCAAUUACCUCCCACUGGGUCCCUCUCAUGAUGUGUGGGAAUUAUGGGAGCUACAAUUCAAGAUAAGAUUUGGGUGGGGACACAGCCAAACCAUAUCACACAUUUUCAACUACUUUAUGGAAACUCCCCCUGGAGAGCUCACCUCAAGCGCUCCAGGUCCCAAGCCAGCCUUCUUCUAGAAUCUUCUCCCCAUCCCUCCCAUUCUUCAGAGGGAGUCUCAAAAAGAUUUUCUUGGAUAUUGCUGCAUGAAAUGGUGAGCAUUGUACACAGCACAUUAUGCAAACCAACACAUCAGAGGAUGGCUGGUGUCAUAUCUGCUUGAAAGCUUUCAGCCCCAAACACUUUGGCAUUCCUGCCAUUUCUGCCAAAAACAACUUCGGAGAGAGGCUGGGGAAGGAGGCUAGGUGAGAUCUGUUGGAUUCCAGAGAUUCAAGUCAGCACUGGUGUGACUGUGAGUUACCACACAGAGCUGGGGUGCCCGAAGGAAGAGACCCUCUUUCUGCCGAGAUGUGGUUUUAUAAGGAAAGAGAGACAUUCCCACUUCUGAGUGGCUUUAGGGGGUACAGACAUGCCAAUCUUCAGCACAUCUUACCUACCGAAAAAUUUCCAUCUUUUGCUGUCAAAACAAGUCAUAUCUUAAAGACCACACACACAGAGAAAGUUGGCUUCUCUACUUCAUAUCCAGAAAGUUCUCAGGGAGAAAAUAUGUAGCACUAAGGUGAAUAGAAGUCAAUGUAGCCGGGCACGGUGGCUCAUGCCUGUAAUCCCAGCACUCUGGGAGGCCAAUACGGGUGGAUCACCUGAGGUCAAGAGUUAAAGACCAGCCUGGCCAACAUGUUGAAACCCUGUCUCUACUAAAAAUACAAAAAUUAGCUGCGCGUGGUGGCAGGUGCCUGUAAUCCCAGCUAUUCGGGAGGCUGAGAGAGGAGAAUCGAUUGAACCUGGGAGGCAGAGGUUGCAGUGAGCUGAGAUCAUGCCACUGCACUCCAGCCUGGGUGACGAGAGCGAAACUCCGUCUCAAAAAAAAAAGAGGAAAAGAAAAAGAAAAAAGGUAAAAAAAGAAAGUCAAUGUAAAUCUGUGGAGCCUCUAUUUACAUAUUUCUUUUUACUGUGUUCUUAAAACAUCCCCUCAGCAUAUGACUAUGAUCGGAGGCUGAGUGCAAUGGAAGUGUUCACUUCUAGAACUUUCUCUCUGUAAGGACAGGAAGAAGAUAUAUAUGUGGAAUGGACUGAUGGAUAUUGUUCAUUGUCAAGUUUGGCCUACAUCCAGAGACCAUAAAUGUCACUCUUCUAUCACUGAGUGAAGAAAAUCAUGCACUUCAGAGGCAGAAAGGGCUUGGGACCUCCAGGCCAGGGAUUCCCAUUAUAGGCUCUGCCAUUUAAUAACUUCAUAACCCUGGGAAGGUUCCUCGGCUUCUCUCAGCCUCACUUUCCUCAUCUAGAAAAUGAAGGUGAGACUCCUACCAGAUGGAGUUGUGGGGGAUUCACGAGACAAUGGAGCAAAACCACUGGCACACAGUGGGUGAUCCAUAAUGGUGGCUCCUGGCCACUUGUACUACAGACACAAAUAAACAAAACCAAAAACCUUCCACAGUUAGAGAGUUUUCACUGGGAAUUUUGACUUCCCUCUACAAUUCAGUCUCCUGCUGUGGACUUUAAGUGGUCAGUGGUGUUGAACAACUAUUAUCUAACUAUUGGCAUAGUAUUAAGAGAUUCAGAGAUAUUGACCAAUGUCAGUGUUUCAGGACCCUUAAUAAUGGGUGGGUUUCAUGAUUCCAUUGUCAAGAUGAGCUCAUUUCUGCUCAGAAGAUUAAAUAAUUGGCCCUGAGACUGGUUAUCUAUCAGCAGAAGCAAACUUUGUGCUGAGAUCCAGGUCACUCUUCC